UCUCUCUUUCUUUUUUAAAAUAUAUUUUUAUUGAUUUCUGAGAAGAAGGGAGAGGGAGAGAAAGAUAGAAACAUCAUUGAUGAGAGAGAAUCAUUGAUUGGCUGCCUCCUGCACAUCCCACACUGGGGAUCCAGCCCGCAACCCAGGCAUAUGCCCUGACUGGGAAUCGAACCGUUACUUCCUGGUUCAUAGGUCGACGCUCAACCACUGAACCACGCCAGCCAGACGAGACCUAUCUGGUAGUUUUAGACCAAAUCCCAUCCAGAUGCGUGGUGUGGGAGACAUAGGUGCUUUGCUGGGUAGAUCGCUCUCCCAGGAGACCCUGUCACAAGCAACCCUGUAGCCAAGGGAAUGGGUGCUGAUGUCCUGUCCAAGAAUUAAAGCAAUUAGGACCAGCAUGGGCACUGCCUGCUAUGGUGGAGUUCAGGGCCAAGCUGUGUUGGAAGUUAUUUCUGUCUUCUAUUGCUUCACAGGAUCUUCAUUUUUCUUUUCGUCUUCUUUUUUAAAAUAUGUUUUUAUUAAUUUUGGAGAGGAAGGGAGAGAGAGAUAGAAACAUCAAUGAUGAGAGAGAAUCAUUGAUCGGCUGCCUCCUGCAUGCCCUCCACUGGAGAUUGAGCCCACAACCCAGGCAUGACCAGGAAUCGAACCAUGACCUCCUGGUUCAUGGGUCGACACUCAACCACUGGGCCACACCGGCCAGGCUACUUUUUUCUAAAAUGGUGGCAUUGUGUUCAUCAGAACCUGUCAGGCUCUGGCUCUGAGAGUCAGCCUUGUUCUACUCUCAGGGCUCAUGUUUCUUCUGCAGAACCCCUACUUGUAGAUGUGUGCUUCCCAAUUUGGGAGAGCUGGACAAGGCCAUAUGAGCCUGUGGGACAUAGUGGUUCACAGAGUGCAAGAGGAUUCCCUAUUCCUUGAGUCUGAGAGAAAAAUCAGAAAAUGUCAUCUUCUGAAUUGCAAACUGACAAAGGCAAAUUAUCUGAGAAAAGCUACAUAGUAACUAUUGCUGAUAAAAAGGGGUUAUUUUCUAACUCAGCUGGUGCCUCUUAGACUUCCAUUCACUACAAGAUGACUUGGAUUCUUAGGGCUCUGUUAGUUGCAUUGGUGACCAGAGGAUUCUGGUUAUCAGAGAGGGGUGCGAUGGUGGAGUAGGACUGCUCCUUUGGCACCAUGGAGGAGGCCCUGCGGAGCCGGCAGCAGCAGGUCAGGCACCCGCUCCCGCCACCAUAGUGUAACAGGUGCAGAUUUAGGUUCGUUCACUGUCUCUUGUGAGUUUGGCUAGUUUGAAUCAGUCCCCAGGGCUUCAUCACCCCUGGGUGAACUGAUAAAAUCUGUUUCUUGAACAUUCAGGUCUGGACAGGACAUCUGUGAUGGUGCUGUACUUGCUGUACUUUGUACUUUGCCUGUUUAUUUCUCUUCUCUCCUUACCUUUUUUCUUUCUUCAUCCAUCUCUUGCUAUUACAGGAGUGACCCUGUCAUUGUAAUCUGCCUGCCCUUGCAGGUACAUUCCUAUUCUCUGUCUCCUUCGUUCCUCUUGAAGACUGUGGCUAUGUUACAAAUCAGAUUGUUUGAGGAGUCCCCUUGCUCUUCCCCUCUUACGCUUCCAUCCCCUAACUUUUGCCAGAGGCUCACACAAGCAUCAUCACUGCAGGUUAAGGUCAGCAGCAGGCAGUGAAACUGUGCUUGUUCCUCAGGUGGUCAAGGCCCCACUGUAUCGACAUCUGAUAUCAUUCACCUUGCGGCUGUGGCCUCUCCUUUCCUCUCGCAAGGUACUUCAUGAUAUCCUGCCUCCACUCUUUCCUCUGGUUUCGCUUGUUCUCUCAGAUCAAGAAGUAGACCUCUCAUUUUUGUAGAGGGGUAGCCCCACAGGGCAAGUGAUACCUGCGUUUGAUAACAGAUCUUUUGUUUAGGGUUUUGACCCAAGGAAAGGAGGCCACCCACUUACCAAAGCACAGAGCACUCCUUCGCUUCUGCAGUGUGCUCAGUGCUACUUGGCAAAAAACAGAGUCUUUCCAGGAGAAGCCAUAGGAAAUCAAACUUUUUUAGCGCCUUGCCUCUGAUGUGCUUAUACCCUGACCCUUGCCUUGUGCCGUGUGACCCUCAGAGCAAAGAGUGAUGAGCUUAUGGCUUUCUUUCACUAGCCAUGGAGGUUCAGCUUCUAACACAGGAGGAGCCUUGACCUUGGGCUGGGGCUCUGUGCAUCCUUGUAAAAGGAGAAGGUGCCCUUCCGUAGUACGAUUCCUUGUUGGGGCCCACUUCUAGAUGCUUCUUCACAAAACACUGAGGACUCUUUAAUCCCAUCGGGCUGUUUGCAUCUGGAGAAGAUGGAUAUUCUCCUUGUAGUGCACACUAGGAGAGUUUCCAUUCGAUCCAGCUCUUCAGAGAACGAUCCGAGAGCAGAUUAAUUGCCAGUCCUUAUCCAAGUAGAGAACGGACUGACUCAUGAUACCUGGAUAGACUCCAGAGCGAGAUGCAGUGCCCUCUCCCGCUGCUGGCAGAACACUCCCUCUCCUGCUUGGACGGCUCUGAGCUCACUGGUAUCCAGUGACCAUCUGGAGAUGGCAGGAUCAGCUUUCCACCAGAGCUGCCGGGUUAUAUGCCACUCUAAUCUGAUGGAAGAAUUCCUCAGCUCUGAUAACCUGUCCUGCCUGAUGGUUGGAGUUUGAUGGGAGUGUUAGUUAUCAGAGUGCCAGGGGGCAGUGUGGAAUUCAGGGGAGAGGAGGGAGUGAGGAUCAGUGGCUUUACCAGCAUUUCCAUGGAUUUGAGCAAUUGUGAGCAGCAUCGGGUAGGGCUCCAGAAGCUUUAGUUCUAGGGCUACCUCUUCGGUGCCUCAUCUGUGACCUUGGGUAAGUUCCUUGACCUCUCUGAGCCACAUCACCCUCAUCUGACAAAC